AGAGUUUGAUCCUGGCUCAGAUUGAACGCUGGCGGCAGGCUUAACACAUGCAAGUCGAGCGGUAACAGAGAUAGCUUGCUAUCUGCUGACGAGCGGCGGACGGGUGAGUAAUGCUUGGGAAUAUGCCUUAUGGUGGGGGACAACAGUUGGAAACGACUGCUAAUACCGCAUAACGUCUACGGACCAAAGGGGGGGAUCUUCGGACCUCUCGCCAUUUGAUUAGCCCAAGUGAGAUUAGCUAGUUGGUGAGGUAAAGGCUCACCAAGGCGACGAUCUCUAGCUGGUUUGAGAGGAUGAUCAGCCACACUGGGACUGAGACACGGCCCAGACUCCUACGGGAGGCAGCAGUGAGGAAUAUUGCGCAAUGGAGGAAACUCUGACGCAGCCAUGCCGCGUGAAGGACUGAAGGCCCUAUGGGUCGUAAACUUCUUUUAUACAGGAAGAAACUCCGGGACGUGUCCCGGCCUGACGGUACUGUACGAAUAAGCGCCGCUAACU
rnacentral:rRNA from 1 species